UCUGCGGGAGUGCACGGGGAGCAGGCUUGGUCGGUGACUCGAGCUCGUCAGGGUUUUCAAAUGGCAGCUUCAUUCUAAGAGUCUGAUAGUACAUGUCUGUCACUUUAUAAUGGCGUGGCCAUGCAUGAGCUGUUGGGGAGUGUGUGUUUACUAUGUCUCCAUAAGUACAGUGUUUUCAUAAUCUAGUCAGGACACAAGUUAAGAUUGGCUGUAUCUGACUGAGACUGCUAAGCAGAAGCUGCUCUUAUAGGUUUUUCCUUUUAAAAUGCUUAGUAAAACUGUUAGGAGUUAUGUCAUUUAGUGUGUACACUUAAUACCUCCUAGGCUAAGCUCAGUGUGGUAACACACAUUUUCAGGUAGAUCUCUGGGUUCAAGGCCACCCAGGUCUACAGAAUGAAUUCCAGAACAGCCAGUGCUACACAAAGAUACCCUUUCUUAAAAAAACCCUAAGUUAGCCUUACCUCUAGAUAGGGAGACACGUUUGUGUAUGCUUUUCACAGAAAAUGUUAAUUGGCAGUGUCCCAGAAGUUAAAACCUUGUAGCACGUUUCCGAGUCUACCUGGAAGGACAAGGGUGUUUUGACUCUACAUCCGAGUGUAAAGAGCUGGGGUCAGCGCUCACUGUGAGGAACAUGACAGCCGGCCUGGGAAACACUGGCUCUGCUGCCUCUCCUCAGCCAUGCACACUGGCCGAGGGGGAGAGCAUCCUGCCCUAGACACCUCCAAGACUGCAAGUGUGGCGCCGCCUGGUCUUACUCAGUGUUUGGCCAGGACAUUAUGGCUUCCCAUCCUUAAUGGAUAAGGGCCAACAGUUAGCCCUCUCCAGGACUCCUGCACUGAGUCCUCUCCACGCCAGUCUCACUGGCCUCCCUCUGUCCCCUCAUAUGACCUGUGGCCUUUCCUGUCUAUAGUCUAGAAUGAUUUUCUCUCCUUAGUUAAGUGGUUAGCCAAGCUCAUCUUAUGUAUCUGAGUUAUAGUGUCUUUGAAUUCCUGUAAGCAUUAACUUUUUAAAAACUUUAUUUAGUAUUUUUCUUCACUUUACAUCUGAAUUGCUGUCCCAGUCCUUCCUCCCACAGUCCCUCCCCUCCCCCUUUCCUUCUCUGAGAGAGUGGAGUACCCCCUACCCAGGUAUCCCCCAACCCUGGCACAUCGAGUUUCUGCAGGGUUAGGCGCUUCUCCCACUGAGGCUGGACAAGACAGCCAAGCUAGGGACGCAGGCUCCACAGACAGGCCACAGCUUUAGGGACAGCCCUGCUUCAGUUGUGUGGGACCCACAUGAAGACUGGGCUGCGUGUGCUACAUCUGUGGGGGAUGGGGGGUGCAGCAUCAGCUUACUGUGGGUAGGUACACUGUCACACACCUUACUGUGUGGGUAGGUACACUGUCACACACCUUACCGUGUGUGGGUAGGUACACUGUCACACACCUUACCGUGUGUGGGCAGGUACACUGUCACACACCUUACUGUGUGUGGGCAGGUACACUGUCACACACCUUACUGUGUGUGGGCAGGUACACUGUCACACACCUUACUGUGUGUGGGCAGGUACACUGUCACACACCUUACUGUGUGUGGGUAGGUACACUGUCACACACCUUACUGUGUGUGGGCAGGUACACUGUCACACACCUUACUGUGUGUGGGCAGGUACACUGUCACACACCUUACUGUGGUUAGGUACACUGUCACACACCUUACUGUGGGCAGGUACACUGUCACACACCUUACUGUGUGUGGGCAGGUACACUGUCACACACCUUACUGUGUGUGGGCAGGUACACUGUCACACACCUUGCCAGUUUGAAGCUUUUCUGCUUUCCCAGUGGCCUGUGAACCUUCUUAGGACUGAAGUCAUUUCUAUGUCGGCUCAGCAGUGCGUGGCCAGCUCCAGUGCAUCACUGCCUGGUGUCUUUUGCGUGAGUGAAAGAAUGAACUGAUGAGGAGAAGGGCAGCAGACGAGAGUCCAUGCUUGCCCUCCAUCGCUGUCACUAGGCAGUGCCACCACACUCCGCUCGGUCUUACCCUUUGGCUUCAUCUCACAGGUUUUCUGUAAUCAGCCCCCUUUAAGAAGAGUAAAGGAGUAGUCAGGUGUGGCCCACAGUUGUAGCACUUUAGAGAUUAAGGUAGGAGAAUCCCCAUGAUUUCAAGCUAGCCUGGGUGUUACAGCAAAACCAAAGCAAACUGUAAAGGGGAUAAAAGCGUAGCAGAAUACACAAAUGAGGGACUGUGUGUAACCAUCAGGUACAUCAGGGCGUGUGUGUAUGUGUGUGUGUCCAGUGCAAGAAUUGAUCCCCAGGCCUCACCUGUAUUGGACAGGCAGUCGGCUUAGCCAGGACCCAGGCCUUAGUGUGUACAGGCUAAAGCUGUCCAGGGAGCACUAGCGCCUCCUACUGGCAUCUCAUCCAGUUCUUCACAAACCCCUGAGUCACAUGUUAGACCUUCACUUUAUUUUUAACAGAUCUGCCUCCAAAGGCGGUUGGUUCUCUUCACAUAGAGUGAGGAUUUGUAUAUAAUGCACUUUCUGCUCCUUACAUAGAAUGAGGACUUUGUGUAUAAAGUACUUU